rnacentral:lncRNA from 1 species
GGUGGAGUAUCAUAAGAAAGGUGUUAAGAAUUGGGUCAAAACCACAGACAAGCUAUCACCCAUAGGGGCAACAAUCACCAGAGGCAAAACGGAAAGAGAUCUUCAUGUAAACAGAGUCCCUCUUAUUGGCUGAAGCGAAGAGUCAUUCUGAGGUGAGU